rnacentral:misc_RNA from 1 species
GAUGAAGAACGAAGUGAAAUGCGAUAAGUAAUGUGAAUUGCAGAAUUCAGUGAAUCAUCGAAUCUUUGAACGCACAUUGCGCCCGCCAGUAUUCUGGCGGGCAUGCCUGUUCGAGCGUCAUUUCAACCAUCAAGCCCCCGGCUUGUGUUGGGGACCUGCGGCUGCCGCAGGCCCUGAAAACCAGUGGCGGGCUCGCUAGUCACUCCGAGCGUAGUAAUACAUCUCGCUCAGGGCGUGCUGCGGGUUCCGGCCGUUAAAAAGCCUUAUUUACCCAAGGUUGACCUCGGAUCAGGGAGGAAGACCCGCUGAACUUAAGCAUAUCAAUAAGCGGAGGA